rnacentral:rRNA from 1 species
AUGGCCGCCGCGUCCAUGGUCUUCCGCACCACUUAUCCGGGCUACGCCAACCUGCUCCUUGAACAUUCUAAGCAGUUGUUCGAAUUCGCCGACAAGUACCGGGGGAAGUACGACGCCAGCAUCACCGUGACGCGGAAUUACUACGGGUCAUUCAGCGGAUACGGGGAUGAGCUGCUAUGGGCGGCGGCGUGGCUGUUCGAGGCGACGGAGGAGCGGUUCUACCUCGAGUACCUCGCGCGCAACGGCGACGCUCUGGGCGGCACGGGCUGGUCCAUCAACCAGUUCGGCUGGGACGUCAAGUACCCCGGCGUGCAAGUGCUGGCAGCCAAGUUCCUGCUUCAGGGCAGAGCCGGCGAGCACGCGGAGGCGCUGCAGAGGUACCGGCAGAACGCCGAGUUCUUCGUGUGCUCGUGCGUCGGGAAGGGCGCCGUCAACGUCCCGAGGACCCCCGGAGGUGGAACAACCUCCAGUUCGUCACCAGCGCCUCCUUCCUGCUGA